rnacentral:rRNA from 1 species
CCUACGGGGGGCAGCAGUGAGGAAUAUUGGUCAAUGGACGAGAGUCUGAACCAGCCAAGUAGCGUGAAGGAUGACUGCCCUAUGGGUUGUAAACUUCUUUUAUAUGGGAAUAAAACGUUCCACGUGUGGGAUUUUGUAUGUACCAUAUGAAUAAGGAUCGGCUAACUCCGUGCCAGCAGCCGCGGUAAUACGGAGGAUCCGAGCGUUAUCCGGAUUUAUUGGGUUUAAAGGGAGCGUAGGUGGAUUUUUAAGUCAGUUGUGAAAGUUUGCGGCUCAACCGUAAAAUUGCAGUUGAAACUGGCAGUCUUGAGUACAGUAGAGGUGGGCGGAAUUCGUGGUGUAGCGGUGAAAUGCUUAGAUAUCACGAAGAACUCCGAUUGCGAAGGCAGUUCACUGGACUGCAACUGACACUGAGGCUCGAAAGUGUGGGUAUCAAACAGGAUUAGAUACCCUGGUAGUC